rnacentral:rRNA from 1 species
UACGUAGGGUGCAAGCGUUGUCCGGAAUUAUUGGGCGUAAAGAGCUCGUAGGCGGUUUGUCGCGUCCGUUGUGAAAACUCGAGCUCAACCUCGAGACGCCGGUGGAAACCAUCUAGCUAGAGUCCGGAAGAGGAGAGUGGAAUUCCUGGUGUAGCGGUGAAAUGCGCAGAUAUCAGGAAGAACACCCGUGGCGAAGGCGGCUCUCUGGUACGUGACUGACGCUGAGACGCGAAAAGCGUGGGGAGCGAACAGG